UACGUAGGUGGCAAGCGUUAUCCGGAAUUAUUGGGCGUAAAGAGCGCGCAGGUGGUUGAUUAAGUCUGAUGUGAAAGCCCACGGCUUAACCGUGGAGGGUCAUUGGAAACUGGUCGACUUGAGUGUAGAAGAGGGAAGUGGAAUUCCAUGUGUAGCGGUGAAAUGCGUAGAGAUAUGGAGGAACACCAGUGGCGAAGGCGGCUUCCUGGUCUGUAACUGACACUGAGGCGCGAAAGCGUGGGGAGCAAACAGGAUUAGAUACCCU
rnacentral:rRNA from 1 species